rnacentral:lncRNA from 1 species
AGAAAAACAUAUUAUUCAAGUCGACUUAUCAAUGAUUUAAGGUGCCUUUCAAUACACCUAUGAAUACCCUACCCCUUGAGCCUUCUACUUGGGGAUCUCUGACCAUGGUGAUGAGGUGUUCAGCUUAAGAGGAAUGGUACUCAAGGUGCUACAUUUAAAGAACUACACCUGAGGAACUUCAUCCAGAUCUCAACAUGAUUUAAAUGAUGACACUCAGGAUUUCAACUAAAUAUUGUGAUUGAUGGGGCUUUUGUGACCUUUUCUAGGGAUGAAAGUAUUUUAAUUGUGGGAAAAAUGUAUAUGCUAUAUGUUCAGAGUGUAGAGUGUGUUUGUUUAAAAAAAUUUCUACGAAGUUUUUGAUAUUCUUCCCCUCAAAAGGUGGAAGAAUUAUUAAUUCUUAAUUUCUGUUAUCUGGCUUCUUAAUUAUGAAGCAUUUAAAGAAUUGCUUCAUAAUACAGUAUAGAUGACACAAUAUUACAAACUUAAACAUCAUAUUAAUAACAACAUUAAACUAUAUCAAUAAUUAUAUGUAAAGUAACUAAUAACUCCAAUUAGUCAUCAGUAAAAUGAAAGCUGAAAUCACUUCAUCCCAAUAAAAUGGUUAAAAUUCAAAAGACUGGAAAUACUAAAAUUCAAAGACUAAUUACAUGUCACAUUUGAGACUAGAUUACAAAAUGACUACUAUUUUUAUCAUUCUGUGUGUGUGUGUGUGUGUGUGUGUGUGUGUGUGUGUUUAUGUGUCUAUCUCCUUCUUUCCUGUAUUACUCAUUGUAG